GUUAAAUACUACACUGAAGGACUGCUCUGGGUUCUCUUGUACUAUUUUUCUGGUCCCCCAUCAUGGACAUGGUUUUAUCCUUUCCAUUAUUCGCCAUUUGCUUCCGACCUAAAGGGCCUUGGUCAAGUGAAACCUAAGUUUGAAAAAGGUUCCCCAUUCUUACCUAUCGAUACUCUCAUG